AUGCCUCAUUAACGGCGAGUGAAGCGGCAAUAGCUCAGAUUUGAAAUCUGGCCCCGUUCGGGGUCCGAGUUGUAAUCUGCAGAGAGUGCUUCGGGCGAGACCGCGGUCUAAGUCCCUUGGAACAUGGCCUCAGAGAGGGUGAGAAUCCCGUAUGCGACCGUGGCUCGAGCCCGUGUGAAGCCUCUUCGAAGAGUCGAGUUGUUUGGGAAUGCAGCUCAAAGUGGGUGGUAAAUUUCAUCUAAAGCUAAAUACUGGCUGGAGACCGAUAGCGCACAAGUAGAGUGAUCGAAAGAUGAAAAGCACUUUGGAAAGAGAGUCAAAAAGUACGUGAAAUUGUUGAAAGGGAAGCGCUUGCAACCAGACCUGCCCGUAGGCGAUCAGCCGCUGUUCUCAGCGGUGCACUCGCUCUGCGAUCAGGCCAGCAUCGGUUUCGGCGGUUGGAUAAAGGCCUUGGGAAUGUAGCUCCCCUUCGGGGGAGUCUUAUAGCCCUCGGUGCAAUGCGGCCAGCCGAGACCGAGGACCGCGCUUCGGCUAGGAUGCUGGCGUAAUGGUUGUAAGCGACCCGUCUUGAAACACGGACCAAGGAGUCUAACAUCGAUGCGAGUGUUUGGGUGUAAAACCCAUGCGCGGAAUGAAAGUGAACGGAGGUGAGAACCCUGAAGGGCGCAUCAUCGACCGAUCCAGAUGUCUUCGGAUGGAUUUGAGUAUGAGCAUCGCUGUUGGGACCCGAAAGAUGGUGAACUAUGCCUGAAUAGGGUGAAGCCAGAGGAAACUCUGGUGGAGGCUCGCAGCGGUUCUGACGUGCAAAUCGAUCGUCAAAUUUGGGUAUAGGGGCGAAAGACUAAUCGAACCAUCUAGUANCUGGUCCUGCCGAA
rnacentral:rRNA from 1 species